rnacentral:rRNA from 1 species
CCAAUAGCGUAUAUUAAAGUUGUUGCAGUUAAAAAGCUCGUAGUUGAAUUUCGGGAUCAGUGCGCUGGUCGUGCCUUCGGUAUGUACUGGUGUUACUGGUUCCUACCUUCUGACGAACCGUCAUGUCAUUAAUUUGGUGUGGCGGGAAAUCAGGACUGUUACUUUGAAAAAAUUAGAGUGUUUAAAGCAGGCUCGCGCUUGAAUACAUUGGCAUGGAAUAAUGAAAUAGGACGUUUGAUCCUAUUUUGUUGGUUUCUAGGAUUGACGUAAUGAUUAAUAGGGAUAGUUGGGGGCAUUAGUAUUCAACUGUCAGAGGUGAAAUUCUUGGAUUUAUUGAAGACUAACUACUGCGAAAGCAUUUGCCAAGGAUGUUUUCAUUAAUCAAGAACGAAAGUUAGGGGAUCGAAGACGAUCAGAUACCGUCGUAGUCUUAACCAUAAACUAUGCCGACUAGGGAUCGGAUGAUGUUAAUUUUUUAAUGACUCAUUCGGCGCCUUACG